rnacentral:snRNA from 1 species
AUACUUACCUGACAGGGAAGAUGCCACAAUCGAGAUGAUUUUCCUAGAGUGAGGUUUAUCCAUUGCACUCCAGAUGUGCUGCCCUUGAGAUUCCCCCCUGAUAUAGGAAACUUCACAGCAUAAUUUGUGGUAGUCAGGAACUACAUUUUCUUA